rnacentral:lncRNA from 1 species
UUCCUAAUUAUAAAACAUAUACCAUUAAUUUUAAAAUUUAUACCUGCUUGAAAUUUUGUAACAAAUGCCUCAAUUUAACAAUGUAUAUAUAUAUAUACAAGACUCUUACAAAUCCAAUCCGAAUGAGAAACCUACUUCACUAAUGAUCCUACUUUUAGAGCUCAGUUUUAUAUACAAAUCAAAUAUGGUGGUUGGUUCUUUGCAUUGCCAAAACAAGUUCUCUCUGCUUGCCAUUCUCUCUGCCUCAAACAAAUUUGGUUGUUCCUCUGUUUCUCCAGCUGCAACCUAUUUCACUACUGUAUCUCCUGCUGCAACCUUUAUCACUUCUAAGGUGAAAAGGGCUAUUGGGUAGACUAACUCCUUGAGUGCUGCACACCAAGAGUAAUGACCAUCAACAAAUAAGGUAAAAGAAGUUGAUAGUUGAAAUAGAUUGACAUGUUUACUGAUGCUACCUCGAGUAAUCCAAAAUCUAUUCAAGGAGGAAGAAAUCCAAAAAUAAUAAUACUACAAAGCUCCUAAUACCUAAACAAAGCUAAAGUUAUCAUGAUACUAAAAGAUACUUGGCAAUCUAAAAAAAUGAUGGUUUGAGUGGAAUAUACCAUUAGCACUAGCAGUAUGAAGCGUUUUAGCUCUUCGAGAAUCGCUUCAUAGCAGAAGAGAUAUUGUUCCUGCAAAAGGAUGCAUGCAAAUGUAACAGCAAAAUACACAACAACUAUAGAAGAAAUAAUAAAGAACUGUCCAAUAACUAUUAGGAGAAAUUUGAAAUCAUCCCCUACAAAUUUAAAUUCUAAUAAAGGAGAAAAGUAGUUUGACUGGUAAUUUCUUAGAGUAUAUUCCAAGUCAAGCAUUAUAUCAAAUUGAAACUGAUGUUGAAGCUGCAAGAUAAACAAGGCUUUGCUAUCAAAGAAUGAAAGAUCCUAAUAGAGGAUGACACAAAACAGAAAAUUUCUCAAAUGAACCUUCACAUAACUGAUAACACAACAAGUCGAGACAGCCAUUUCUAUACACGAAAAUUGCACUUUCUAUUAAAAAAGGGAAAAUAAUCAGAACAGAGCAUAUUAUGUCUAUGGCUUUCUAUGCCAAGUAGAACAUUGGAUUCAGUAUUAAGUAUAUUAAAUGAAUAUUGAUCCAUAUACACAAGAUCAUAAAAAUGAUCAUCCCACCACUAGCUAAGUCGCAAAUUAAAAAAGAUUACACAAAACACUCAAUAUUUAAGAGCUACAUGUAUCCUCUGCUACCUAUAAAUCUUCACAGUUAUGCCGCUCUGUUGAAAGAGAUUGGAAACGUGGAAAUAAUUUUCUUGGUAAUCUUUUCGUUUUCUACAAUUAUUCAAUUAGGUAUAUUAGAACUUUCCAUACACAAUGCUUUACACCAUUAGUUAACACAUAUUAAUUAUCAAUCCCACCCUUCAGUAUAUAUCAAUCUCAAGAUUGCCUCAUGUCAUUCACACACAGAUGCAAUAAAAAACGCCUAAAAAAAUAGAUGCUAUGAAAAAUGAAACAUACUAUGAUAAUAAUUAAAGGAUUCGAAUCACUAAGGUUGAAACUUCAACAACACAGAACAUCACUAAUUCAUAGAGCA